rnacentral:misc_RNA from 1 species
GUUGAAGAACGUAGCGAAAUGCGAUAAGUAAUGUGAAUUGCAGAAUUCAGUGAAUCAUCGAAUCUUUGAACGCACAUUGCGCCCGCCAGUAUUCUGGCGGGCAUGCCUGUUCGAGCGUCAUUUCAACCAUCAGGCCCCGGGCUUGUGUUGGGGACCUGCGGCUGCCGCAGGCCCUGAAAAGCAGUGGCGGGCUCGCUGUCACACCGAGCGUAGUAGCAUACAUCUCGCUCUGGGCGUGCUGCGGGUUCCGGCCGUUAAACCACCUUUUAACCCAAGGUUGACCUCGGAUCAGGUAGGAAGACCCGCUGAACUUAAGCAUAUCAAUAAGCGGAGGA